CCUACGGGAGGCAGCAGUGAGGAAUAUUGGUCAAUGGGCGCGAGCCUGAACCAGCCAAGUAGCGUGAAGGAUGACUGCCCUCCGGGUUGUAAACUUCUUUUAUAAAGGACUAAAGUGAGGCACGUGUGCCUUUUUGCUUGUACUUUAUGAAUACGGAUCGGCUAACUCCGUGCCAGCAGCCGCGGUAAUACGGAGGGUCCGAGCGUUAUCCGGAUUUAUUGGGUUGAAAGGGAGCGUAGAUGGGUUGUUAAGUCAGUUGUGAAAGUUUGCGGCUUAACCGUAAAAUUGCAAUUGAUACUGGAAGUCUUGAGUGCAGUUGAGGUAGGCGGAAUUCGUGGUGUAGCGGUGAAAUGCUUAGAUAUCACGAAGAACUCCGAUUGCGAAGGCAGCUUACUAAACUGCGACUGACAUUGAUGCUCGAAAGUGUGGGUAUCAAACAGGAUUAGAUACCCUGGUAGUC
rnacentral:rRNA from 1 species